GGUCUGUCUGCCGGUGGCGGCAGUACGUCACUGGUUCUAAACACAACAAGGCGCCGACAUGAAAGAUGUCGCUGCCGGUGCGAGCGUAGCGGCGCCUGCUGCCCGCCUCUGACCGGAGAACCGUGUCCGCUCUCCCUCCCGGGGGCGGGGACAUGUCGGUGGUGACGGUGCAGCUCGGUCAGUGCGGUAACCAGGUGGGUCACGAGCUGUUCGACGUCGUCUGCGGUGACGCUCAUGACGGACAGAGGAGAAGUUACUGCAGCGUCAGCCGGGAGCGCUUCUUCCACCAGACCGAGCGUGGAGACCUGGUGGCCCGGGCGGUGCUGAUCGACAUGGAGCCCAAAGUGAUCAAGCACAGUAUGAACAAGGCGGCGAACUCCGGCAGGUGGACGUACGGAGACGACGCCCACUUCAGCCAGAAGCAGGGCUCCGGAAACAACUGGGCCAACGGGUUCUGUGUCCACGGGCCUCGUCACGAGGCGGCGCUGGAGGAGCUGGUAAGACGACAGGUGGAGCGCUGCGAUCGACUGUCCGGCCUCAUGGCCAUGAUGAGCGUCGCCGGGGGAACGGGCUCCGGGGUCGGCACCUACGUGACCCAGUGUCUCCGGGACACCUUCCCCAAGUCCUUCAUCGUCAACCAGCUCACCUGGCCGUACGGGACCGGGGAGGUGAUCGUCCAGAACUACAACUCGGUGCUCACGCUGGCUCACCUGUACGGGCUGUCCGACGCCAUCCUGGUGCACGAGAACGACACGGUGCACGGGAUCUGCGCUCGGCUGCUCAACCUCAAGCACAUCUCCUUUGGCGACGUCAACCGGGUGAUCGCUCAUCAGCUGGGCGCCGUGCUGCAGCCGGCGCUCACCACCGACUCCCACGGGCUCUACAGCAGGAAUCCUCUGGGUGAGCUGGCGAGCGCCCUGGUCUGCCACCCGGAGUACAAGCUGCUCAGCAUGAGCACCGUCCCGCAGAUGCCGAGCGCCUCCAUCGCCUACAGCACGUUCAGCUGGCCGGGGCCGCUCCGACACCUGAGGCAGAUGCUCGUCUCCAACAGCAAGAUGGAGGAAGGUAUCGACUGGCAGGUGCGUCUGCCCGCGGCCUCCGAGCGGAGCAGGAGUCUCACGGGAGGAGGAAGAGGAGGAGGAAGAGGAGGAGGAGGAGCGGCAGCGGCGGCCAUCUUUAACAGGUCUCUGGCCAACCUGCUCAUCCUGAGGGGGAAAGACGUCUACAGCGCAGAGACCGGCGGCUUUGAGGACCCGGCCCUGUUCACCUCCUGGCUGUCGCCACGAGACGCCUUCAGCUUGUGGAAAUCCCCGGUGCCUUUCAACAAAUAUGAAAAAUCGGCGACGCUGGUCAGCAACAGUCAGGCUCUGCUCAGGCCUCUGGACGACAUGGUGAGGAAGGCCUGGAACAUGUUCGCCUCCAGAGCUUACAUCCACCAGUACGUUAAAUUCGGAAUCUCGGAGGAAGACUUCCUGGACAGCUUCACGUCUCUGGAGCAGGUCAUCUCCAGCUACAGUCAGCUGAGCUAGUGAAGAGGGAAAAACUCAACAAGCGUGUAUGAUGAUCGCUCAUCAGCAGCUCAUCACAAUGAUCAAACUGUAUAACCAGAAACUUGGAUGAAAUAAAAGAAGACGGUCGUCGUGACCACGUGGACCAGCUGGAGGUUCGGUCUUCGUACUACAGUCGCCAUGAUGAGUUGAAGGUGACGGAGGGAGGCCCACGGCGUCAGCCAGCCUACAGACCGCUGUUGCCAUGGUAACAUAACAGCCAACACCAGUCUGAUAAGCUAGCUGACGGCGCGGGAACGCUUCACACUCCUGAGAGAAUCUGAGAAUUCUUCAGAGGGAGGAUUUGGGAGGAAGUCUGCAUCGGCAAAGAGAAAAAAAUGGAAAAUUUAGCUGCAGCGAUUAAGGACAUAAUAACUUAAUUUACAUAAAGUUAUGAGAGUCGAGCUGUUCACUUACCUUAGAGACGACCUCGUCUGAUGUGGUGAAUAAAUAUAAUACGCUCGUAAACAUU